rnacentral:tRNA from 1 species
GCGUUUAUAGUCUAAUUGGAUAAAACAGAGGCCUCCGACGCCUCCGUUCCGGGUUCGAGUCCCGGUAGACGCACCA